GGCAGGAGGCGGGACAAGGCAGUGAGCCGCCAAUCAGCAUCAUCGACCGUUGACAGACAAUUGCACGUGCGUUCUACGUGAUUGGUCAUUGCCAAAUCUCUCAAUGCUGGAUGAAACUCUCCGAGCGGUAGUUUAAAGUCGCUCCAGGGUUUUCAUUAUGUAAGAUACCUCACCCCUCACCCCUGAAAUGGUAGUAGGGCAACCCACUCCAGAAGUUGUCAGGAGUUUUGUUCCGGACAAAUCUAGGUGGAGCAAGCCACUGAGUUUGUCCCAGCAUGAACAGCUCCAAAACACUAUUGGCAUGAAUGAUGAGGAGGAGGUGGCAUACACUAAUGGCAUUGCACCAGUGGUGGAGGAAGUACUGAAGUUAAGUACUUAAGUAAAAGUACAAGUACCCAG